rnacentral:rRNA from 1 species
GGAACGAACGCUGGCGGCAUGCCUAAUACAUGCAAGUCGAACGAACUCUUCGGAGUUAGUGGCGCACGGGUGCGUAACGCGUGGGAGUCUGCCCCUUGGUUCGGAAUAACAGUUGGAAACGACUGCUAAUACCGGAUGAUGACGAAAGUCCAAAGAUUUAUCGCCAAGGGAUGAGCCCGCGUAGGAUUAGCUAGUUGGUGAGGUAAAGGCUCACCAAGGCAACGAUCCUUAGCUGGUCUGAGAGGAUGAUCAGCCACACUGGGACUGAGACACGGCCCAGACUCCUACGGGAGGCAGCAGUAGGGAAUAUUGGACAAUGGGCGAAAGCCUGAUCCAGCAAUGCCGCGUGAGUGAUGAAGGCCUUAGGUUGUAAACCUCUUUUAGUAGGGAAGAAGCGAAAGUGACGGUACCUGCAGAAAAAGCACCGGACUAACUACGUGCCAGCAGCCGC